rnacentral:lncRNA from 1 species
ACAAUAGAUUAUGGAAAUUAGUCAGAAUAAAUAGGCCUGGAUGGCCUCAGCAGCACUGUGGUGUCAACGGGUCUCAUUGAAUAUGCUCAGAAGCAUGUAACUGUUUGUUUCUCUGCCACAUACAUUUUUCCACAAGAUGAGGAAUGAGCUUGAAAAUGAUACCUGAAUUAAUUUGCAGUUUCCUCUCGACUCUUGGUGUCCUGUGGAAACAGAGCAUUGGUAAAGCAGAUCACAUCACACUGCUGUUCUGCCUUAAAUGGGUCCUCAAUGGUUGGAGAUCUCUUCCACUGUGGUAUUUCUGUUGCUCAAGCACCCACCGCUGUAUUCUAAUACCUUUGUUGACGGGAGUUUUCUGCUGAAACUACAUCACUUACAGAAGAAGAGGAUGGAGUAAUGGCUUCAGGAGAUGUCUCCUGCCCAGGGAGGAGAUAUAAUGGGAAGUGUUGCAAUGGAUAUUUGUUUGCUCCUAAUCCAUCAUUAUCUACUGGCUGGAGAAUUCAGACCAGCUGACUGCAUUUGGAUGAGUCUAAAUUCUUUGGUUUCCUUCUGAAAUCAGCAACUUGACUUCAUGAGAAUUAAGGUUUUUGCCCUUUUCAAGUUAAUGGAACACUUGAGUUCUAGAUCCACAUGACUUUUUGGGAAAGGUGAACCAAGACAGGGUUUCUUCCGGUAUAAAACUGUGCAGCUGCAGGGUCCGAAGACUUUUCCUUAUCAUUAUGUAGUAUUAUUUUAAAUCCUGGUGCAGUGUAACAUAAGGGAAUGGGCUGUGAUUUCACCUGCAUCCCUUAGGUGCAAGAACUGGAAAUAUUUCUUACAGACAUUGAGGAAUGAGAGUCAGUUAAAACAAGCG